rnacentral:rRNA from 1 species
ACUCCUACGGGAGGCAGCAGUGGGGAAUUUUGGACAAUGGGCGCAAGCCUGAUCCAGCAAUGCCGCGUGCGGGAAGAAGGCCUUCGGGUUGUAAACCGCUUUUGGCAGGAACGAAACGGUGUCCGCUAAUACCGGGCGCCAAUGACGGUACCUGCAGAAUAAGCACCGGCUAACUACGUGCCAGCAGCCGCGGUAAU